rnacentral:rRNA from 1 species
GGGUUGUGAGGUUAAGCGACUAAGCGUACACGGUGGAUGCCCUGGCAGUCAGAGGCGAUGAAGGACGUGCUAAUCUGCGAUAAGCGUCGGUAAGGUGAUAUGAACCGUUAUAACCGGCGAUUUCCGAAUGGGGAAACCCAGUGUGAUUCGUCACACUAUCAUUACGUGAAUACAUAGCGUAAUGAAGCGAACCGGGGGAACUGAAACAUCUAAGUACCCCGAGGAAAAGAAAUCAACCGAGAUUCCCCCAGUAGCGGCGAGCGAACGGGGAGGAGCCCAGAGCCUGAAUCAGCAUGUGUGUUAGUGGAAGCGUCUGGAAAGUCGCGCGAUACAGGGUGACAGCCCCGUACACAAAAGCGCAUGUGCUGUGAGCUCGAUGAGUAGGGCGGGACACGUGGUAUCCUGUCUGAAUAUGGGGGGACCAUCCUCCAAGGCUAAAUACUCCUGACUGACCGAUAGUGAACCAGUACCGUGAGGGAAAGGCGAAAAGAACCCCGGCGAGGGGAGUGAAACAGAACCUGAAACCGUGUACGUACAAGCAGUGGGAGCACAGGUUUACCUGUGUGACUGCGUACCUUUUGUAUAAUGGGUCAGCGACUUAUAUUCUGUAGCAAGGUUAACCGAAUAGGGGAGCCGGAGGGAAACCGAGUCUUAAUUGGGCGUUAAGUUGCAGGGUAUAGACCCGAAACCCGGUGAUCUAGCCAUGGGCAGGUUGAAGGUUGGGUAACACUAACUGGAGGACCGAACCGACUAAUGUUGAAAAAUUAGCGGAUGACCUGUGGCUGGGGGUGAAAGGCCAAUCAAACCGGGAG